AUGGAUAAACAUCAUAGAGACACUGCUACCUGGAAUUGCCUGGCAUCAGCCAUCAAGACAGUUAUAGACUCAACGAGAUGUACCUUGGGAAAUGGAUCCAAAAUCUCCUUCUGGCACGACUGGUGGCUGAAUUGUGGAAGACUGAAAUUCUCUUUCCCGAUUCUCUUCACCUUUGCACAAUCACCUUAUUGCACUGUUGCCUCGCAGUUCACUGAUGGACAAUGGAACAUCAAGCUACAUCCGAAUCUAACUAUGACAGCCACAAGAGAAAUGGAGGCCUUACUGACGAUUCUAGUUGGAGUGCAUCCAUCUCCUUCUCACGCAGACACAGAUCAGAGGAACCCUUCUAUGAAAUCUGGAAAGGUCACCACUGCAUUCUUCUAUGAGCUGCUCACUUUCAGGGGGAUCCUUUGCCCAGUUGCUCCAAAGAUAUGGGACACUUUGAUACCCAACAGACAUCGGGUCUUCCUUUGGCUGGCUUUGCGAGGUAGACUGAACACAAGGGAUAAUAUUCUCAAGAAAGGCUGGACGUCAAUCACAACACACAAUGGUUGCGACCUGUGCCCUGCAACCGAAAACAGCAGCCAUAUCAUCCUCAGAUGCAGACUUGCUGAUGCUGUUUGGGAGCGGGCAGGCGUACAGGACAAAGCAAGAAGAUCCAAUGAUCUCCAAGAUUUUCUACUCGCCACGGAACCCCCUGCAUAUGGCAACCUCCGGCAUAUUGUUUUUGCAGCCUGUGCCGUGUCUCUCUGGUCUGCCAGGAACGAGCAGGUCUUCCAACGCACACGAUGGUCCGCUGGCAAGGUGUUGAGCACGAUUGCAGACCUGCUGCGUCUGUGGAGUAAUCGUGCGAAUAACAAUGAGGAUAGGCUUAAGCUGUGUAAUCUUGCUGCUCUUUUCCAUACCCCUAUUUCUACCUUUUUUUAG
rnacentral:rRNA from 1 species